UUGUCUGUCUGUCACGGUCGUAUGCCCGGUCCUCAGACAGUGUUUGCUCCGCGCCAGGCAAUGGCUUCUGCCGUUGCUCCCACUGCUUGCAGCAGACAAGCUCUCCGGACCUCGAGGAGCUGCCACCCAGCUUGGAGGAGCCGAGCUGUGGUGCUUGAGCCCUGGCUGUGGGUCCCAAGCCCUGGGCUCUUUCCCUUACGUCUCCCCGCCCCCGUCAGGAGUGGGUUGAGUAGGUAGGAUCUGUUCCACACCAGGGAGCUCCAGGCCCAGGUUCCUGAAGCUUCUCCGCAGAGAACCUCUUGCCUGGGGUGAGUGGAGCUGAGGGUUUGAUUGGAGGUAAGUCCAGCCAGUCCCAGACCUGUCCGCCUUCAAGAAGGGAUGGUACUUUUUUAUGCCUUGACAUGGGCAGCUUUUCUGUACUGGGAGCUACGCUGAAGGUCCUGGCUCCGUCACCCCAGGCCAGUGGUGUUCCAGCCCCCGGCUGGAAUGAGUGGCAGGUCCAGGCAAGGGCCCCCGGCUCUGCCCAGCCAGACCUCACCAGAGGCCAGGACCCACACUGCUUGCUUGGCUCUGAGCUGAAGGCAUGUGGGAGUGUGUGUGUCUGCAUGUGUCUGCGCCUUGGAACUGCACGGCUGUAACUAGGCAUCCUCUGUCCUGUCUGUGCAUCCUUUUCUGCCUCCCAGAGACCUAAGAUUGGGGAGUUCACCACACCUGGGGUCAAAUCUCAGUUCUGUUGGUACCUUCUUAGGGAUUGGAUGAGUUGCCCAGCUUCUGUGGUCUUCUUUCCAUGUCUGCCGCGUGGGGAUGUUCCACUCACCUUCCAGGGAGGCUUCUGGAAGGAGAACGAGCAUCCAGGAUGAGGUUUAGGUGCACCUUGUUCUAACGCACAAAGGUUUGGUUCAGUGCCUGGUAGGCAGCAGGGGCUCCAAGGGGCAGCCGGGUGGAUGGAGUGCCCGCCCUCCCUCCCCGAGUGGGGCUUUCUCCCACCCAGCUCCGCAUCCUGUCUCCCUCCCUCCUACCUGCACGUCUGCCCCUGGGACUGGGCGGUGUCACCCUUGAGCCUUUGUGGGUCCUUGGCACAGAUGGCCCUGUGCCCGCUUGUCCCCACCCUGCAGCCUGAGAGGGUCCCCGGGGCAGAGCCCAGGGUGGCCUCUCCCUGGAGUCUGCAGGCCCGUUUCCUCCUCCAGGGCGUCCCUCCCAGCCUCCUCUGGCUUCUGACCCAGUGACCUGGGCCGGGAGAGGGAGACGGGGCAUUGCCAGGAGCCUGGGGUGGCAGGUUGAUGAGCUGGCGCUACCCUCCCCCAUGGCUGGAAUGCGAGGCCACCAGCCCAGCUGUUUGUCCAGGAGGCCGAGGUCGCUGCAGGCCCCGAGUCUGUUUUCACUCCCAGGCCCAGGAGCCUCCGGGACUUUCCCGUGUUUGUUCCCUGAACCCACUGCGGGGCCUCGGGUCAAGUGAGCACCUGGGAGUUUCCCGACUACGUGCUGUUCCUUGGAGAAGUGGGGCUCCCCGUUCUGCUCUGGCUCCCCCAAAAUGUGAAGGCACAGACCUCUACUCUCCAACCCUCUCACAAGUGGUGGCCUUUUCGGUGUCCCCAGAAGGUGAGGCGUUCAGAGGGCUGGUCUCCGCCUGUUCCCAGCUGGAGAUGUUCGGAUUGCCCUGGGACAUGCCUCUCUGCCAGAAAGUCCCUCCAACUCUGCCACGCAUGUGCCUGCCGGGGUCCAUUCAUAUGCGAAGUCUGGCCUGACGGUUAAUUUUUGUCACCUUUCAAGAAGCCAGAAACUUCAGGGCAUCCUUCGGGUCUCAGCUUAACCACCUCUUCUCCGGUUCCGGACGGCUGUGGCGGGUGGGAGCAGCCUAAGCCCAGAGUCGCUGGAGAGCCUUCCCUGAAGUUAGAAGGAAGCAUCUGCCCAGGGGGCUGCGCGCAGCAAGAUGAGGAGGUUCCUGAGGCCGGGACACGACCCUGCGAGGGAGAGGCUCAAGCGGGACCUCUUCCAGUUUAACAAGACGGUGGAGCAUGGCUUCCCGCACCAGCCCAGCGCCCUCGGCUACAGCCCCUCUCUGCGCAUCCUGGCCAUCGGCACCCGCUCCGGAGCCAUCAAGCUCUACGGUGCCCCAGGGGUGGAGUUCAUGGGGUUGCACCGUGAGAACAAUGCGGUAGUGCAGAUCCACUUCCUGCCUGGCCAGUGCCAGCUGGUCACCCUGCUGGACGACAACAGCCUGCACCUGUGGAGCCUGAAGGUCAAAAGCGGGGUGUCGGAGCUGCAGGAAGAUGAGAGUUUCACGCUGCGUGGCCCCCCAGGGGCCGCCCCCAGUGCCACGCAGAUCACCGUGGUCCUGCCGCAUUCCUCCUGCCAGCUGCUCUACCUGGGCACCGAGAGCGGCAGUGUGUUCGUGGUGCAGCUGCCGGCUUUCCGCGCGCUGGAGGACCAGACGAUCAGCUCAGAUGCUGUGCUGCAGCGGUUGCCAGAGGAGGUCCGCCACAGGCGGGCAUUUGAGAUGGUGGAGGCUCUGCAGGAACAUCCUCGGGACCCCAACCAGAUCCUCAUUGGCUACAGCCGGGGCCUUGUCGUCAUCUGGGACCUACAGGGCAGCUGUGUGCUCUGUCAUUUCCUCAGCAGCCAGCAACUGGAGAACGUCUGCUGGCAGCGGGACGGCCAUCUGAUUGUCAGCUGCCAUUCUGACGGCAGCUACUGCCAGUGGCCCGUGUCCAGUGACACCCUGCAACCGGAGCCCCUGCGCAGCUGUGUGCCUUACGGCCCUUUUCCUUGCAAAGCUAUUACCAAAAUCUUCUGGCUGACCACCAAGCAGGGGUUGCCCUUCACCAUCUUCCAGGGCGGCAUGCCACGGGCCAGCUAUGGGGACCGCCACUGCAUCUCAGUCAUCCACAACGGCCAGCAGACAGCCUUUGACUUCACCUCCCGCGUCAUCGACUUCACUGUCCUCAUUGAGGCGAACCCUGAGGCUGCCCUUGAUGACCCCUAUGCCCUGGUAGUGCUGGCUGAGGAGGAGCUGGUCGUGAUUGACCUGCAGACGGCUGGUUGGCCGCCGGUCCAGCCUCCCUACCUGGCCUCCCUGCACUGCUCCGCCAUCACCUGCUCCCACCAUGUCUCCAACAUCCCCCUGAAGCUGUGGGAGCGCAUCAUCGCUGCCGGCAGCCGGCAGAACACACACUUCUCCACCAUGGUAGGUCUGGCCCCGGCCCCAGCCCCGCCCCAGCCCAGAGCCAGGCUCGCCCAUGAACUUCUCCGUCAUCUCCUCCAGGAGUGGCCCAUCGACGGUGGCACCAGCCUGGCCCCGGCCCCACCCCAGAGGGACCUGCUGCUCACGGGGCACGAGGACGGCACAGUGAGGUUCUGGGAUGCCUCGGGCGUCUGCUUGCGGCUGCUCUACAAGCUCAGCACGGUACGGGUGUUCCUCACCGACACAGACCCCAGCGAGAGCCUCAGUGCCCAGGGUGAGGACGAGUGGCCCCCCCUCCGCAAGGUGGGCUCUUUCGACCCCUACAGCGACGAUCCCCGGCUGGGCAUCCAGAAGAUUUUCCUCUGCAGAUACAGUGGCUACCUGGCUGUGGCCGGCACAGCAGGGCAGGUGCUGGUGCUGGAGCUGAAUGACGAGGCGGCGGAGCACGCGGUGGAGCAGGUGGAGGCCGACUUGCUGCAGGACCAGGAGGGCUACCGCUGGAAGGGGCACGAGCGCCUGUGUGCCCGCCCGGGGCCCGUGCACUUCGAGCCCGGCUUCCAGCCCUUUGUGUUGGUGCAGUGCCAGCCCCCGGCUGUGGUCACCUCCUUGGCCCUGCACUCCGAGUGGCGGCUCGUGGCCUUCGGCACCAGCCACGGCUUUGGCCUCUUUGACCACCAGCAGCGGCGGCAGGUCUUUGUCAAGUGCACGCUGCACCCCAAUGACCAGCUAGCCUUGGAGGGCCCGCUGUCCCGUGUGAAGUCCCUAAAGAAGUCCCUGCGCCAGUCCUUCCGCCGGAUACGUCGCAGCCGGGUGUCCAGCAGGAAGCGGCGGCCUGCUGGCCCUCCGGGAGAGGUGCAGGAGGGGAGCAGCAGGGCAGAGAGGACUGGCCUCCAGAACAUGGAGCUGGCGCCCGUGCAGCGCAAGAUCGAGGCCCGCUCGGUGGAGGACUCCUUCACGGGCUUUGUCCGGACCCUCUACUUCGCUGACACCUACCUGCGGGACAGCUCCCGCCACUGCCCCUCGCUGUGGGCUGGCACCAACGGAGGUACUGUCUACGCCUUUGCCCUGCGCGUGCCCCCCGCUGAGCGGAGAAUGGAUGAGCCGGUGCGGGCGGAGCAGGCCAAGGAGAUCCAGCUGAUGCACCGAGCGCCCGUGGUGGGGAUCCUGGUGCUGGACGGACACAGCGUGCCCCUUCCCGAGCCCCUGGAGGUGGCCCACGACCUGUCAAAGAGCCCCGACAUGCAGGGAAGCCACCAGCUGCUUGUCGUGUCGGAGGAGCAGUUCAAGGUGUUCACGCUGCCCAAGGUCAGCGCCAGGCUGAAGCUGAAGCUGACCGCCCUGGAGGGCUCGCGGGUGCGGCGGGUCAGCGCGGCCCGCUUCGGCAGCUGUCGAGCCGAGGACUACGGGGAGCACCACCUGGCUGUCCUCACCAACCUGGGCGACAUCCAGGUGGUCUCGCUGCCCCUGCUCAAGCCCCAGGUGCGGUACAACUGCAUCCGCCGGGAGGACGUCAGCGGCAUCGCCUCCUGCGUCUUCACCAAAUAUGGCCAAGGUUUCUACCUGAUCUCACCCUCCGAGUUUGAGCGCUUCUCUCUCUCCACCAAGUGGCUGGUUGAGCCCCGGUGCCUGGUGGAUUCAGCAGAAACGAAGAACCACAGCCGUCUCCGCGACAGAUCGGGCCCUGAAAAGGCCUCAGGCCGAGCCAGGAAUUCAGGGAGCCAGAGUGAUGGAGAGGGUAAGACAGGCCUCUCAGGGGCCAGGGGCGUGUGGGGGCCGAGGCGUUGUGAGCACACCUGGGGAGGGAAGGGGAUCCCAGGUGAGCAGGUGGUGUUCGGGCUGGGAGUCGAAACAGCUUCCCUUCCAGUCCUGGGCUCAGGCUUCAGCAACCCCACCCCCAGAAGCAGGGAGCUGGGGCAGAGGAGGGCCCAAGGCUCACCUGGCCUGGCCUCUGCCUUCCAGAGAGGAGGUCGGGCCCCGUGAUGGAGCACGCUCUGCUCAAUGACGAGAGAGUCCUGAAGGAGAUCCAGAGCACGCUGGAGGGAGACCGAGGGAGCUGUGGUGAUUGGCGUUCUCCGCGAGUGGCCGUGGGGUACAGCCUCAGCAAUGGGGGAG